CCAAUUUUGUGAAUAAAACCCUGUCUACCUCAUUUUUUGUACUGUAACAGCGCAUAGCUGUUUUAUCACUAACUACCUUUACUCUAUUGGUUAGUCCUCUAACGAACUAACCCACCUUCUUGCUGAAGGUUAUUCCACCCGCGUACGUAUCACCAGUAUUUCCUACGUCAUAUAGAUGACAUAUAACUCAAACUCGAAAAUUUACUUCUUUCGCUUCUUCGAGUUAAGUCGUUUAACUAAAGAGUCGAAGUUAGUUGGUGCGUGAGAACAUUUUAGUACGGUCCCGGAAAAAAAUCGUUUAUAGCAUCCCGGAAGAGACCGUCUACGAAACCCUUCCGGUUUUCGGUUGUCGGUGACUGGAUCAGUUAUCACCUCAUCUCAUGGUUGAGGCACAGAAAUUUUGGUCUCCAAAAGAGUACACAACAUUACCCGUCUUGGACCCUCUUUAUUCCACAUCGCGGAGUAUCACAUGGGGGUGGUGGUGGUUGCUGGCGGCGGAUGUGAGUGUUCGAUUGGAGUGGUAAAGUCCUUCGUAUACUCGUCGCUUUCGAACCCGUUCUUGAGGUUCUAGUACCCACCGGCACUUUCUUUUCUUCAAUUAUCGUGGCGUUUCGUAAAACAACUAAAGUGUCUUCGUCUCCUUCUAGAACAAAAGUCUUACGUGUCCGAACAGCCCUUGUCCACCCUUGAAUAUCGACCUUCUUAGGGGCCUUCUUGUCGUCUUCUUCAUCUCUACAAGACCCGUUUUUCCGUGGUCCUGGUUACUUUUACUUUUGUCCUACGUACGUCAUUUUAUCUAACUGUAUAUCCUAGUACAGGUAGUUUUUGGACACAACUAGAAUGAGCAGGAUAGAAGAGUCGGUACGAUUUUCGUUGAACAAGACAUGGUUCGUACCUACAUGUAUUCUUUUGGAGUUCUUUUUCCUCCUUGUACACGAUUUAUUUGUUUUUAUACUUAAGCGAAACAAGGUCCUAAUAAGAUUGUAAAACGUGAUUAAUGUAGUGUACAAUUUACCGGUGUGACUGUUAUUUCAGCGUCUAACUGGUUUUUUCAUCUGUGUCGUACUAAUGUAUUGGUAUAUAAACCAACCCCUUGAUUAAGGUUUACAUUUAGUGUAUUGUUACGUAGUGUCUCUUUAAUGCUGUACGUUCUUUGUUAUCCUCUACAGGUAGUACACCAUCCUUCUACAUAUAGAGACACGUUUUGAUCUUGUAUCAACUGACAACAAUGACAUAUAGACAUUGACGUGAUAAAUCCUUCGAACUGUAUAGUGUUUCAAAGGUACAUUCUUCAAUAGGCGAUAGUCUAUUAUUAUUAAGUUUACGAUUUUCUUAUCGCGAGUGUUACGUACGUUAUUUCUCUGUGCGCUAAAAGAAAAAUUAUGAAGUGUAGUCUUCAACAAAUUCAAAUUGACCGUAACAAGUCUUUUAUUGUAAGUAUUUAUCUAUAAGGAUCUCUUGUAGUUUUUUCAUCAGGUUUGGAACAGGUUAAAGGGUCUAACUUUCGGGACGGGGGGUUAGAACGCGAAGUAGGUUUGCAUGUCUUUCUCUGUUGUCGCAACCUAUUUUAUGUCGUACGGAGUGUGGAAAUAGGCUUAUAUAUUUUUUUACGAGACUUGAAAACAGUAGGGUAACGUUUCUACCGAACAUGAAGAGUUCAUUUACUUACUUUAGAGAAGGUCAUUAUCUUGAUGGUGGUGGUGGACACAUACAUCUAAUUAUUCUGUGUUAUUAGGGUUUAAGUACGGUUCGUAUUCGAUAUUCGUUCUUUGUAUUAUGUGGCACGCCGACUUUUUUUAGUAGACGAUGGUUACCAUUUGUUACAAGGAUGACUUAAAACUCACAUUACAGUAUUAUACCCAGUUAGUCACUGUAAAGUUCGUUUGUACCAUGGUUGUGUUGUUUCCACUGCAGAAGACAAAGUGUACCGGUACAUUUUUCUGAGAAACAGUAAAGUUACCGUUCCCAUACUUUUACCCAUAUUCAUGGAAAUCUUUCAUCUUUUAGUAAGGGUAUCUUUAAUUAGGGUUCCUUAUAGUACACUCUUACCGGAACUCUUCGUCUUGGGAACCGACCUUCUUCACAACAGUUUCUUAUAACAUAGGUGAAGUCUCCACGUGACCCCGGUCCCAAAACACCAGGUCUCUUCAGUAUACAGUAUUCUCUUUUUGGUAGAUGACUUAGUCGGUUGAGGUCCUCUAGAAGACCAGGUUUCAGAACUAACAACCCGGGAAGGUAGGCACCUCGACCCUAUUGUAUUUAAUCAAGGUUUACCAAGGACCAUGAACUAAAACUCGACUAUCUUACGUUUCGGAGCGGGUCGACGAAUUGUUUGACUUCACGGACACCGUACGUCGUUUUUAUAAUUUACUUAAUUUUUUUACUGGGGUUCUUACGUUGAGGGAGACUAGAGUUUGACUAUAACGAAAUCUUAAGCACGUCAGUUUGUAACUGUCGAUCAUAUAUGUUUUACUAGCUCCAAAUACUAUACCAUUGCCAUGAAAAAGAUCUCAUUUUGCUAUUGCCAUGAUCCUCUAACGAGUCCUUUUCAUAUAAGUAUAGUAGUAAGAAAGAAUAAAAGUUGAUUUUAUAUUUAGUUUUUUCAUUACAAGCCAAACCGAUACGAUACGGAGUCGUUAGACCUGUUGGUCCCACUGCUACAUCCAAUUCAAGAAGGAACCCAAUCGAUGGUUCAGACUGUUUUAGGAGUGAACCUAUUCGAGUAGUCCGUCGUAGGGGUACUGUUUGUACUAGAAAUGCCUAACCACCAGGAUAUACUAGCGGUGCCGUGGUUGUCAAAAUGUUUUCCCUCAUCAAAGGUAUUGCGGAAGUAACGAACCAGUUAGACCUUCGUCGCCUUAGUGAAGUAGAAGUUGUCUUUGGUCGGUUUACACGUCGACGAACAAUCGUAAUACCACCUUAUUCAAGUUCACUCAAAUUGUUCAAGAGUCAAGAUCAUCGUACAGAGUUACAUUAAAAAAGUUUAUUUUGUCUUUUUAUACUUUAUACGAAGGACGACGUGCUUAAACGUCUUGUCUACAUUGCAUGCAUCUCGAAACGAGAUACCCCUUUCUUAAUCUACUCUCAGAGUGCUACGAACUUUCCCGUGCACAUAUCACUCCAUCGAGCUAGACUCUAGAGCUCGUCCUGGAUGCUGUUGAUGCAAUUCGACCACUCCGUUGAUUAUUUUCCGCGUGUUGUUUCAAUCAUGAGGGAGUAAGUGAUUUACGUACGGUAAGAUCGUAGAUUGUAACCUUGAUAUUGUACUUUUUGUCACUGCCCAACACUCUAUUUUUGAGCUCGUCCUGGAUGCUGUUGAUGCAAUUCGACCACUCCGUUGAUUAUUUUCCGCGUGUUGUUUCAAUCAUGAGGGAGUAAGUGAUUUACGUGCGGUAAGAUCGUAGAUUGUAACCUUGAUAUUGUACUUUUUGUCACUGCCCAACACUCUAUUUUUGUUCUCUAAGUUAACAUGUUACGAGUUUUUGUUAAAGAUCUUUCUUUUGGUCCGCAAAAAGAUAGAAGUCAAAUAUGUUCACAAUUUAGUUGUUCCUGGAUACAUUAUACUAGCAUCUUCAUCGAGUUCUAAUCAAACAAGUUGAUCAAAUGAAGCAUUUCAUUAAGUUGUUAUUAUUUUCUUACGUUUGGUGUAUGUACUGCCCGCACAAACCAACGGACGUACUCCGGGUUGGUCCAGGCGCGCCCUUCUUUUGCUGGACAAACCAACCGACGUAUGUGACAACCCGGACGUACCGUGCUACAAAUUUCGUGAGGACCCGGACCGAGGGACCCUUGCGAGCUUAGCCGUCAAAGAGGUCUCGGUCCGGGCUCGCCACGUGCACCCGCCGCCACCGACGUGCGCGCACCGGUGCGAGCUCUUCGGCGCAACGAAGGGCUUCGCGGCCGUCAAUAAUCGGAGUGGCGAGGUAGAGGGGUGAGAGGGUUAAGAGUGACCGCCGCCGCCUAGCCUCCUCUCGUUCUUCUGGUGGUCUGAGGUAGUGGCCACUCGCCUAGUAGUGGACCGGGCGCCGUUACCGCUAGCUCCUCUCGUUACUCUACCCGUGCUUCCACGAGGGCCGGCAACUGUUGUUCCUGUUCGUCGGCCAAGUAGGUUACGGGCUCCACCACGACGGCGGGUGGCGACUCCUUCUUGGCUUCUGCGGUUGCCAACCGCUGCUGCUCGCGUACCUCCUCGGGGGGUCGUCGUUCGCGGCGUUGAUGCUGGUGAUGGUACUCCUCCUACCGGGUUGAGUGAAGACGUUCCAGUAGCAACGUGGCCUCGAACUCACGUAGGGGUACGGGGACCCGAAGUGGUUCGUGAAGCAGCGCCACGGCUGCCUCAAGUUCGACUCCUUGUUGUGGCCGACGAGGACCUCCCACUGCCACUUCGACUACUUGCUGUCCCACUGGAACCUAGUCCCAACCCGGUGGAUGCGGCGUCAAGUAGUCUAGUUCUAGCCGAUAUACCACUGCAAGUUCGAGGACUGACGGCUGUGGGAGUUCCAGUAGUAGAAGCUGCUGCUACCGUAACUCCACCAGUUGUUCACGCCCUUCGUGCUGCUUCGGAAGCGGCGGUCCCUGAUCCCGGGCCCGUGGAGGAAGGAAUCAUGAUAGCUCAGACGAAAUACCAAAUACACAACUUGACAAACUUGAUAGUAAUACUAAAUACCAUGAUACAAUAGA
rnacentral:rRNA from 1 species